CUGUCACGUAUCCCCUGCUUGCUCAAAUCAAUCAUGACCUUUUCACGUGAAAUCUUUAAUGUUGUGAGCCCUUAAAAGGGACAGAAAUUGUGCACUCGGGGAGCUCGGAUUUUAAGGCAGUAGCUUGCUGAUGCUCCCAGCUGAAUAAAGCCCUUCCUUCUACAACUCAGUGUCUGAGAGGUUUUGUCUGCGGCUUGUCCUGCUACAUUUCUUGGUUCCCUGACCGGGAAGCGAGGCAACUGACGGACAGCCGAGGCAGCCUCUUAGACGGCUUAGGCCUGCCCUGUGGAGCAUCCCUGCGGGGGACUCUGGCCAGCCUGAGUGACGCAAUCCAAAGACCGCUCCUGAGUAGGCAAUUGUCCCGGUGGAACACCUCAUCAGAGCAGCGCGUAGCAGGCCCCCACAGAGGAUUAACACAGUGGCUGAACACCGGGAAGGAACUGGCACUUGGAGUCCGGUCAUCUGAAACUUGGCAGUUUAGCAUCAUGGAUGGAUAACAUGGCUGCUGACUGUGGCUGAUCUGGCUUGAGACCUGGCUCUGGUACAGACCUAUCAUCUCAAAUGGACAGCUCCAGCUGCAUCUGAUGUCACUGCUAUGGCCGUGAAGAAUGAAAACCAAAGGACAACUGGCUACUUAAGGAAUUAAGCUGACUAAAAUGAAAACCAUUCACCACAGCAGUUCCAGUACUCUGGCUGAGACUCUGUUUUUCUACAUAUAGCCCACACAUUCUGACCAAACUCAAAUCUACGCAAUUUCAAACUUAGAAAACUUUAACUGCUGCCCCACUGAAGCCAUUUUCAAGCUGGAAUCAUGUUUAAUAAACUACUCCAUCUAUUUCACCAUAUAUAUAUUUUAAAAUAAUUAAUUUAGCCUCUACUCAUUCAGAUCUAUUAAGUUUCACCACAGUCUAUCAUGGUUACCUUAUAAAAUCCUCUUAAACAUAACCAACAGAUAAAUCAAAUAAGAAUUUUUGGAAAUGUUUAACCUUAAGGACAAUAUUAUUUUAAGAAUCUAGGUCAAGGGUCUCCCAUCCCCGGGCUGCGGACCAGUAUCAGUCGGCCUGUUAGGAACCGGGCCUCACAGCAGGAGGUGAGUGGUGAGCUAGUGAGCAAUACCGCCUGAGCUCCGCCUCCUGUCAGAUCAGCAGUGGCAUUAGAUUCUCGUAGGAGCAUGAACCCUAUUAUGAACUGCACAUGCGAAGGAUCGAGGUUGCAUGCUUCUCAUGAGAAUCUAACUAAUGCCUGAUGAUCUAAGGUGAAACAGUUUCAUCCCAAAACCAACCAUCACCAUCACCACACCCGCUCCCCAGGUCUGUGGAAAAACUGUCUUCCAUGAAACCUGUCCCUGGGGCCAAAAAGGUUGGGGACCACUGACCUAAGUCUAAUGUAUAGAAUGGCACAGAUUACAAAUGAGUCUUACAGAUUUGUGAAACAGUCACUGACUUUCAUUUAAUUGUACCCCUCGCUUUGAUUUUUCAUGAACUCAAAUGAGACAUCCUAAUCCUCAAUCUAACCAGUUAAGCUGUACUAUACAGGUUUUGUGCAGGUCCUUCUUAAACACACCCUAGCAGACGCCCCAGCUCCAAAAGACAAAUUGGACCUCAGUGACUCCCACAGGCAGUGACUGAGGAGGCAACUUCUGCAUUGUCCACAGACUAUGCUCAUUUUCCUGAGACUAAGGCACUGCUCCUUACACAGACUCAGAAAACUCUUCAGCCCUAGGAGAUGCCACCUCCGACCCAAGGGAAGCGAAUGCCUUCUGAAGAACCAGGCUCCUUAAAACCCCUGGCCAGUUUCCCAGACACAUUUCAGUUGUAAACUCAUUAUGAGAAAUAUUUAAUUACGGAAUCUGCAAACCAGGGGAGCUUAUUUGAAAUACAUUAACUAAAUAACUCUUUUUCAGAUCUUUCAAGAUCACAGUCUGUCUCAGAGAUUAUUUCCCACAUUACUUCUCCUGAUUCAGUACAUGUGUUUUUCUCUUGAAUAACUGCCUCUGCUAUAUUUCUCCUUCCUUUAGCCUAAGUCAACCUUUCCAUUUCUAAAGCCAACAGCUUCUGAGUAACCAGGCUAUCCUCCCAUUAAAUAUGCAUGCAAGAGCUUGACAAA